rnacentral:rRNA from 1 species
GGGAGAUUCAUCGUUCUCCGUCGGGUCCGCGGAGGGGCGCUGACGUCGUGCAUUCGUGUGCGGCGCUCGUCUCGUCGCGAGGCUCGCGGAGUGCGUGCACUCCUCCCUCAGUAAAACACCGCGACCCGUUGCGCGUGGGUCGAACGCGUCGUGCGGUAGUCCCGCUUCGUUUAUACGAAGAGGAACCGCGGCGUCGCGGCUCACGUGCGACGGUAAAGAACGAGGUUUGCGUCCGCCUUUGGCGUCCGCGUUGUGGCGGCGGCUUUACUCUGCCGGUCUCGAUACGUCGCGGCCGACGAGCGAGAGUCGCGUCUGCUGCAUCGGCUCGGACGGGACGC